rnacentral:rRNA from 1 species
UAACACGUGAGCAACCUGCCCCGAAGACUGGGAUAACACCGGGAAACCGGUGCUAAUACCGGAUGUCGUCGCCGGAUCGCAUGGUCCGGCGAGGAAAUGGUCCUCCGCUUCGGGAUGGGCUCGCGGCCUAUCAGCUUGUUGGUGGGGUAACGGCCCACCAAGGCUACGAUGGGUAGCUGGUCUGAGAGGAUGAUCAGCCACACUGGGACUGAGACACGGCCCAG